UGUAUGCAGUUAGUGCGUACUGCUCAACUUGGGAUGGUAACAAGCCUUUGGCAUGGCGGAGGAAGUAUGGUUGGACUGCAUUUUGUGGCCCUGUUGGACCUCGUGGCCGAGACUCUUGUGGCAAAUGCUUAAGGGUAAGAUUUGGAACAUUAAUUAAUCUACUUUUGAUGAUCAUAUUAGGUUAAUUUUCUUUUUUAUAAAGUAGUUUCGUGAGAUAUUAAAUCAACCAAAUCAUAAUUUUAAUUUGAGUUAAGGUUAUACAAAUAUACCAUUUGAUUCCAUUGAUUCAGUGGUAGCGACUGUUUUGUGACAACAUUCCGCAAUAGUCGACUAUUUACCAUGCUCUAAGAAAUUCGCCUUAAAUUCAAUAACAUGAAAUAAUCAUCCGAUAGAACUACAAAAAUCUGCAAUUUAUCAAUCUCUAUAUUUUCCUCCUUUGAAUUUCAAAGCCUCUACUUAUUUUAUGAAAUCUCCUGUUCUUAUUUUCAAAAUUUAAUGUACCUUGAUACUUCUUUUAAAGCAGCUACUUUUAUAACUUUAACAAUAAAAUUUUUACUUUAACUAAUCAAUUUUGUGCAAUUUUAAAUAGUGACUUCUCGUUUAAAACUUCUUUUUUUAUUUUCAUGUCUCUUGCCCUAAUUAAUUGUUUGAAAAUAUUUCAUUGAUAUUUGUUUUGAAAACAAAAAUAAUAACAGUAAAUUUAUAGCUAGCUAGUUAAAUGUUCCAAAUUUGUAUCGAAAAAAUAAUGAAUCCUAAUACAUAAGAUGUCAACAUUUGAAAAGGAAAAAGAAAAUCGGAUUAAGUUUCUACGUGGUGAGGAGCGUGAGAUUUAUAGAGAGAUGUACAUAUCCAGAUCUUUGACUUUAUUUUAGAUUAGAUCUUUGACUUUUAUAUCCAUUGUCCGAAUAUUGACUUUCACGACCUAAACUAAUCACGAAGAAGCGCCUUUAGUAGCUGUAAGGCUUGUUUUAUAUAAUAAACUUGACACUUUAAAAUUCAUGUAAUUAAUUUGGAUAAUCAUGGUCUCAUUUUAAACAACUAAAACUAAGCAUAAGGUAUUUUAUUCGUUCCUAAACAAUAUAUAAAUAUCAUCACAAAAUCGUACAGGUGACAAAUACAGGCACAGGAGCUCAGACCACAGUGAGAAUUGUGGAUCAAUGCAGCAAUGGCGGACUAGACUUGGACGUUAACGUUUUCCGGCAGCUCGACACAGAUGGAAGAGGGAAUCAACGUGGUCACCUUAUUGUGAACUACG
rnacentral:lncRNA from 1 species